rnacentral:lncRNA from 1 species
AAUGACGCAGCCUUACAGCUGGCAAGACUGUGAAGCCGGUGACUCAGGAUAACGAAAAUAAACACUCUCAUUGCUGAGGAGUCCCACAGUCUCUGGCUACUUUGCCCUAUUUUCUGCCCCAUCCUGUGCCUUCUUUCCUUUUGUCCUUCUCCUGGAUGCUUUCUGCAUCUCUUUUGCUGCAGGAUGUGGUGGCCAUCCCCAUUCUCUGCGAUUUUAAUGAACAUCAGCUGUCUGGGAGAAGACUCCCAACAUCUGUCUUUUUUUUUUUUUUUUUUUUUUUUUGAGACUGGGUCCAGGCUGGAGUGCAGUGCUGCGCCCUGCAACCUCUGCCUCCUGGGUUCAAGUGAUUCUCCUGCUUCAGCCUCCUGAGUAGCUGGGAUUACAGGCACCCACCACCACACCCAGCUAAUUUUUGUAUUUUUAAUAGAGACGGGGUUUCACCAUGUUGACCAGGCUGGUCUUGAACUCCUGACCUCGAGUGAUCCACCCACCUCGGCCUCCCAAAGUGCUGGGAUUGCAGCCAUGAGCCUCCAUGCCCGGCCCCCAACAUCUGUCUUGUUCAAAAAAGAGCCAGCAUGUAGACAGGGACGGACCACACCAGGCAGGGCUGGGGAUGCUGGCCAGGAGAUGGGAUCUGAUCAUCAACUGAAAUGUUACCUGGGAGGUCUUCAGAUUGGCUGCCUCAUCUCCUUUCUCUCCAGGGGAUGCUUGCUAGCACAUGGAUCUUACUUCACCUCUUCUGGACAGUUUCCCUUCCCCCUGGCAGCCCUCACCAGGCUUCUGGGAAGUGAGGGGACAUAGGAAAUGGACUUCACACUAUUACUGAACAGAUGAGAGUCCCUGAAGUCAUGGAUUCAUUUCCUUCCUGAGUAGCCUUGUCACCCUUGUUGUUUCUCUCCACAGGUUUCAAGUUGCCCUAGCAUGCAGGAUGAGAUGGCUUCAGAGAGGAUGGGCAGCCCGGUUUCAUCAGAGUGACAGUGGAAAGUACCUUGGGCUUUGUGGUCAGAAGAGCCCAGCUCCAGGGCAGUGUGUUUCCUGAAGCCAUGUGACCUUGAGCAAAUCGCUUUUGUCUUUGACCCUCUGUUUUCUUCUGGGUUAAUGAAAAUAGGGGCGAUGCUUCUUUGCCACAGGUUCAUGACUGCCUGCCACUUCCUCUCUGUUCUCCUGCCUCCUCUGUCUGGAAGACAUGUCCAGUUUCCUCCACUCCUGGAUUCUCCUUGCUUUUGUCCUCAGACCAUCAGAUUCAAGAGAGGCAGUGCAGGUGGAUGGCAAAGGGACCCGGAUACAAAAAGCUGAGUCAGGCCCCGGGCCAGGGCUAACCAUGCGCAGGGCAGAGUCCCUGGGGCUGCAGUUGGUUAUCAUUACUGUUUUCUUUUUCUUUUCUUUUCUUUUUUUUUUUUUUUUUUUUUUUGAGACGGAGUCUCGCUCUGUCGCCCAGGCUGGAGUGCUGUGGCACGAUCUCUGCUCACUGCAAGCUCCGCCUCCCGGGUUCACGCCAUUCUCCUGCCUCAGCCU